rnacentral:rRNA from 1 species
UAUCUCUGUAGAGUCUGCAUAUCAAUAAGCGGAGGAAAAGAAACUGACAAGGAUUCCCUUAGUAACGGCGAGUGAAGCGGGAAGAGCUCAAAUUUGAAAUCUUCAAGGUUCUACCUUGACGAAUUGUAGUUUAAAGAAGUGUUUUCUGUUAGAUGAGUAGCAAAAGUUCCUUGGAAUGGGACAUCAUAGAGGGUGAGAAUCCCGUAUUUGGUUAUUCAUUCUAGCUUUGUGAUACACUUUCAAAGAGUCGGAUUGUUUGGGAAUGCAGUCCAAAAUGGGUGGUAAAUUUCAUCUAAAGCUAAAUAUUGGCGAGAGACCGAUAGCGAACAAGUACCGUGAGGGAAAGAUGAAAAGAACUUUGAAAAGAGAGUUAAACAGUACGUGAAACUGUCAAAAGGGAAGCGUUUGACACCAGUGUUGUUUUUCCGAAAAUCAAUUACGAAUGGCUUGAUUUUGUGUUGUAUUGACCUUAUCAGCUUUCUUCACUUUUUUCGAGUCUUUCUUAAUGCACUUUUCGGUUAACAAGUCAACAUCAAUUUCCUUUGUUGUAAAAGAGUCAUUCGGAAGGUGGCUUUCUUUUCGGAGAAAGUGUUUAUAGCCCUAUUGACUCCUACAAUCGGAGAGACUGAGGUCUGCAGCGUAGAUCCUUCGGGAUUAGAUUACAUUUGUGCUAAGUUGUACAGCCUUUUAUAGACAACUUGUUGACUAUAGUUCGAUCCUGUAGCUUACUCGCUUAUGUAUUUUACCUACGCUUAGGAUGUUGACUGAUAUGUAGUCGUA